GACGAACGCUGGCGGCGUGCUUAACACAUGCAAGUCGAACGAUGAACCCGGAGCUUGCUCUGGGGGAUUAGUGGCGAACGGGUGAGUAACACGUGAGUAACCUGCCCUGGACUCCGGGAUAAGCGUUGGAAACGACGUCUAAUACCGGAUAGGACCUUGGAUCGCAUGAUCUGGGGUGGAAAGUUUUUUCGGUCUGGGAUGGACUCGCGGCCUAUCAGCUUGUUGGUGAGGUAAUGGCUCACCAAGGCGUCGACGGGUAGCCGGCCUGAGAGGGUGACCGGCCACACUGGGACUGAGACACGGCCCAGACUCCUACGGGAGGCAGCAGUGGGGAAUAUUGCACAAUGGGCGAAAGCCUGAUGCAGCAACGCCGCGUGCGGGAUGACGGCCUUCGGGUUGUAAACCGCUUUUAGUAGGGAAGAAGGGCUUCGGCUUGACGGUACCUGCAGAAAAAGGACCGGCUAACUACGUG
rnacentral:rRNA from 1 species